CCCUGCUUUACAAGACAUAUCAUAAGCUUUUAAUGAUAUCAAAUUUAUAAUCAUAAAUACUGCAAAUUAUAUCAUUGCCUUCCAUCUAUCUCUGUGGAAAACAUUUUAUAUCUACUAAUUCACUAAUCAGAAACAUGUAACUACUGAGGAUAUUUCAUAUUCUCUUGGUGUAUUAAUUUAUCAUUACAAGAAAUUAACAAGCAGAAUUUGUGAUCUUUGCUCCCAAUUAUCACUUAUGACUUUUGGAGAAAAAAACCUAUUUGGUAAAUAAUUAUUCCUGUUUAAUAAAUAAUUUCCACAAAAGUGAUGCUAAAAGUUUAUAUGACUUAUCAUAGUGGAAAAAUAUCCAUUUCACAUCCAGUUAUUGGUUUCCAAUGUAAUAAAACAUAUAUUAAAAGUUCGAGAGGAAGUAAAAUCCAAUACAGCUAUAACAUUUGAAAAAUGUAAUGCAUAUAUCAAUAGUUUGAGAGGGAUUAGAAGGAGACUAUGGACAGAAAAAAUGACAUGGCUUCUACAACAACAAUCAAUCUUUAUAAUAACUGACAGCAUGUAA
rnacentral:lncRNA from 1 species